AACGUAGGUUCCGAGCGUUAUCCGGAUUUACUGGGCGUAAAGCGCGUUCAGGCGGUUUGGCAAGUCGGGCAUGAAAUCUCUCGGCUCAACCGGGAGAGGUUGUCCGAUACUGCUGGACUUGAGAGCAGUAGAGGGUGGUGGAAUUCCGGGUGUAGUGGUGAAAUGCGUAGAUAUCCGGAGGAACACCAGUGGCGAAAGCGGCCACCUGGACUGUACCUGACGCUGACACGCGAAAGCUAGGGGAGCGAACGGG
rnacentral:rRNA from 1 species